AUUAGGAAUCUUGCGCAAUGGGGGGAACCCUGACGCAGCGACGCCGCGUGCAGGAUGGCGGCCUUCGGGUUGUAAACUGCUUUUAAGAGGGAAGAAGAUCUGACGGUACCUCUUGAAUAAGCCCCGGCUAACUACGUGCCAGCAGCCGCGGUAAUACGUAGGGGGCGAGCGUUGUCCGAAGUUACUGGGCGUAAAGCGCGCGUAGGCGGGCUGUUAAGUUGGGUGUGAAAUCUCUCGGCUCAACCGGGAAACCGCAUUCAAAACUGGCAGUCUUGAGCUAUGGAGAGGUGAGUGGAAUUCCUGGUGUAGCGGUGAAAUGCGUAGAUAUCAGGAGGAACACCCGUGGCGAAGGCGGCUCACUGGCCGUAUGCUGACGCUGAGGUGCGAAAGCUAGGGGAGCGAACGGGAUUAGAAACCCUGGUAGUCC
rnacentral:rRNA from 1 species